AAGACCUUGCACUUUUGGAGCGGCCGAUGUCUGAUUAGCUAGUUGGUGGGGUAAUGGCCUACCAAAGCUUCGAUCAGUAGCUGGUCUGAGGGGACGGCCAGCCACACUGGGACUGAGACACGGCCCAGACUCCUACGGGAGGCAGCAGUGGGGAAUUUUGGACAAUGGGCGCAAGCCUGAUCCAGCCAUGCCGCGUGAGUGAAGAAGGCCUUCGGGCUGUAAAGCUCUUUCAGCCGGGAAGAAAAGGUUGCGACUAAUAAUCGCAAUCCAUGACGGUACCGAAAGAAGAAGCACCGGCUAACUACGUGCCAGCAGCCGCGGUAAUACGUAGGGUGCGAGCGUUAAUCGGAAUUACUGGGCGUAAAGGGUGCGCAGGCGGUUUUGUAAGUCAGAUGUGAAAUCCCCGGGCUUAACCUGGGAACU
rnacentral:rRNA from 1 species